rnacentral:rRNA from 1 species
UCCUUGCUUCUAAUCCAAUUAGCUGAGGAAAAAGAAACUAACAAGGAUUCCCUUAGUAACGGCGAGUGAAGCGGGAAGAGCUCAAAUUUGAAAUCUUCAAGGUUUUACCUUGACGAAUUGUAGUUUAAAGAAGUGUUUUCUGUUGAAGUUUUGGUAAAAGUUCUUUGGAAUAGGACAUCAUAGAGGGUGAGAAUCCCGUAUUUGACCAUUAUUUUCAGCUGUGUGAUACACUUUCAAAGAGUCGGAUUGUUUGGGAAUGCAGUCCAAAAUGGGUGGUAAAUUUCAUCUAAAGCUAAAUAUUGGCGAGAGACCGAUAGCGAACAAGUACCGUGAGGGAAAGAUGAAAAGAACUUUGAAAAGAGAGUUAAACAGUACGUGAAAUUGUCAAAAGGGAAGCGUUUGACACCAGUGUUGUUUUCUCGAAAAUCAAUUAAAAAAAGUUGGAUUUUGUGUUGUAUUGACCUUAACAGCUUGCUUCACUCUUUUCCUGCUUUUUUUAAUGCACUUUUCGUUUAACAAGUCAACAUCAGUUUCUUUUGUUGUAAAAGGGUCAUUGGAAGGUGGCUUUCUCUUCGGAGAAAGUGUUUAUAGCCUUUGAUCUCUGCAAUCGGAGAGACUGAGGUCUGCAGCGUAGAUCCUUCGGGGUUAGAUACAUUUGUGCUAAGCUACAGCUUUUCAUAGACAACUUGUUGACUAUGUUUAGUCUUGUAACUUACCCGCUUAUGCUAUUUUACCUACGCUUAGGAUGUUGACAAAAUGGUUUUAAACGACCCGUCUUGAAAAAAAAGCCACACAAAA